rnacentral:rRNA from 1 species
GCUUAUGGCCAUACCAGCCUGGGUACGCCCGAUCUCUUCUGAUCUCGGAAGCUAAGCAGGGUCGGGCCUGGUUAGUACUUGGAUGGGAGACCGCCUGGGAAUACCAGGUGCUGUAAGCA